UGCAGUCGAACGAAGUAGCAAUACUUAGUGGCAGACGAGUGAGUAACAUGUAGGUAUCUUCCCUUUGGUGAGGAAUAACACGAGGAAACUUGUGCUAAUACCUCAUAAGUCUUAACGGAGAAAGCUUUAUGCGCCGAAGGAUGAGCCUGCACUUGAUUAGUUUGUUGGUGGGGUAAUGGCCUACCAAGACUUUGAUCUAUAGCUGAUCUGAGAGGAUGAUCAGCCACAUUGGGACUGAGACACGGCCCAAACUCCUACGGGAGGCAGCAGUAGGGAAUAUUGCACAAUGGAGGAAACUCUGAUGCAGCGAUGCCGCGUGAGUGAAGAAGGCCUUUGGGUUGUAAAGCUCUUUCGUCGGGGAAGAAAAUGACUGUACCCGAAUAAGAAGGUCCGGCUAACUUCGUGCCAGCAGCCGCGGUAAUACGAAGGGACCUAGCGUAGUUCGGAAUUACUGGGCUUAAAGAGUUCGUAGGUGGUUAAAAAAGUUGGUGGUGAAAUCCCAGAGCUUAACUCUGGAACAGCCAUCAAAACUUUUUAGCUAGAGUAUGAUAGAGGAAAGCAGAAUUUCUAGUGUAGAGGUGAAAUUCGUAGAUAUUAGAAAGAAUACCAAUUGCGAAGGCAGCUUUCUGGAUCAUUACUGACACUGAGGAACGAAAGCAUGGGUAGCGAAGAGGAUUAGAUACCCUCGUAGUCCAUGCCGUAAACGAUGUGUGUUAGACGUUGGAGAUUUAUUUUCAGUGUCGCAGCGAAAGCAUUAAACACACCGCCUGGGGAGUACGACCGCAAGGUUAAAACUCAAAUGAAUUGACGGGGANCCGCACAAGUAGUGGAGCAUGUGGUUUAAUUCGAAGAUACGCGCAGAANCCUUACCAACACUUGACAUGUUCNNCGCGACUCNAAGANAUUAGAGUUUU
rnacentral:rRNA from 1 species